ensembl:lncRNA
AUGUGGCAGUGUAAAGGGUGUUCAGUCGCUGUGCAAAGUAGGUCUGAAUUACUUCACCAUUAUAAACUCAAACACCCACAUUUUGGACGCACCAUAAAUUAUCCAUGUACGUAUUCUAAAUGUCCCUGUACAUUUAAGACAUGGAAUGCUUUAAUCAUCCAUCAAAGUAGAGUGCAUUCCACACAAGAUAAUCAGACACGAAAAGAGUUGUCCAUUUUCAGCUGUCACUUAUGUGCAUGCAAAAAUUUAGCUAAUGAAAGGGAGUUUUUUGUUCAUAUCAACACACAUCUGAAGAAAAAUGAAAAUGUAGGUUGCAUGUUCGUUGGCUGUAGUUUUCAAACAAGUAUUUAUGGAACCUUUAAGUCUCAUAAGAGUCGCCGGCACACACCUCACACAUUAUCUGAUUUUCUACCAGGUAUUGUAAAAACAACUACAAUAGCAUCUCCACCAUUAGAUGAUUUGUUUGCUGAUAGCCAGGAUGAGGAGUGUGUGUUAGAGGAAGUUUCUGAUUCUUCACGAGAUCAACACAAUGCACUUCCAAGUGCAAUUGAGCAGCAGCUUGCAGCAGCCUUACUAAAGUUGGAAUAUUUAGUCCACGUGCCAGGUACAGCAAUUGAUGAUUUUUUGCAAGAACUUUACUACUUGAUAAACAUAGCAUCAGUCACAGUAUCUAGAAGUGUUGUGACAGAUAUCCUUAAGCAUCACAAAAUACAAGUUGAUGACUCUGUAGUUACAGAAAUCACCACAGCAGUAUGCUCAUCUAACCCUGUUCCAAAAGCAAUUGAAAAAGGCGGCCCUCUUAGUACUUCAUAUCAACGUAAACAAUUUUAUAAGGAAAAAUUCUGUGUUGUGGAACCAGUUACUUACAUACUUGAUCAUAAAAAGAAACACACCUUUCAGUAUGUCCCACUGUUGAAAUCUUUGCAACAAAUUUUAAAUAAUAAGGCCAUUGUUGAUAAGAUAAUUGAAAAUCAUAGAGGACAGCAGGACACUGAACUUGACCCAUCUCUUGAAUUCAGGUCCCCUGAAGAUGGUUUGCAUUUUAACGCAAACAGCUUCCUAAAUGCAGAGGAGUUACGGAUAACACUGCGUCUGUAUGUGGAUGAUUUUGAGACCUGCAAUCCCCUAGGCACCUCUAGGAAAAAACACAAGCUUUGUGGUGUUUACUGGAUACUAGGUAACCUGCCACCAGGCUCCCACUCAUCUUUAUCAUCUAUUUAUCUUGCAGUGCUUUGCAAAAGUGUUGAUGUAAAAACAUAUGGUUAUGAAACAGUCUUGGAACCCCUUCUUCAAGAUAUUAAAAUUCUCGAGGACUAUGGUGUGUAUGUGCCUUUAUUAGGUAAGUCUCUUAAAGGUACAGUACUGAGUAUUGUGGCUGACAACCUGGGCGCGCAUGGUAUUGCAGGGUUCAUAGAAAAUUUUUCUGGUGAUUACGUUUGUCGCUUUUGCACAGCAAAGAGUUGUGAUUUCAGGAAUCAGUGUGUUGCUACCGGUGCUUUCAGCCUUAGAACUAGAGCUGGCCAUGCAGAUCAUGUAAAAUCAUCUUGUGAGAAGGGUACACAUUGCUUUGGAGUUAAGAGAGAGUGCAUUUUUACCAAAACUCUGUCUCAUUUUCAUGUUGUCUCCGGUUUUCCGCCUGAUGUUGCUCAUGAUAUAUUUGAGGGCAUUGUGCCUGUUGAGCUGGCCCACUGCUUGGCAUUAAUGAUAUCAAAGAAGUUAUUUACAUUAGAUGAACUAAAUAGAGCUAUACUGACUUUCCCCUAUAAAUGGUCCGACAAAACAAACAAGCCACAUAUUGUACCACAAAGUUUCUUGGGUCGGAAAACUAUCGGUGGCAACGCUCAUGAAAACUGGAGCCUACUGAGGCUGCUCCCAUUUGUGAUAGGUCCCCUUGUCCCAGAAAAUGAGCCAGCAUGGCUUGUGUUGAUGGAUUUAAAAGAUAUUGUGCAGUUAGUUGUUGCUCCUGUGCAUACAGAUGAAUCCAUCUCAUACCUUGAAAGCAAAAUUGUUGAGCACAGACAGAGGUACCAAGACCUGUUCCCUGGUGUCAGACUUCUACCCAAACACCACUAUGUAGAACACUACCCGCAGAUGAUAAGGUGUUUUGGCCCUCUAGUCACAGUUUGGACAAUGAGAUUUGAAGCCAAACAUAGUUUCUUUAAGAACAUUGUUAAACACACAAGUUGCUUUAAGAAUGUACCACUGACUUUGGCUUCAAAACAUCAAAUGAUGAUUGCAUUUCACCUAAACUCACCGUCUUAUGGUAAAUCUUGCCUAGAUGUAUCUACUGUCUCCACAGUUCCAGUUGAUGUACUGAAGGAGGAAGUAGCUGAGGCUAUAAAGCUAAAAUGCCCUAGCACAUCUGAAGUGCAUCUUGCUAAGAAUGCAUCAAGCAAUGGCAUAGCCUACAGCAAUGGCAUGAUAGUUGCCCAUGGAUCAGUAGGUGGAUUACCAGAGUUUGCUGAAAUUAGUCAGAUGUGUGUAAUAAAUGAGAUGUUGUUCCUCAUUGUGAAAGUGCUGUGUGGGUGGUACACUGAACACUACAGAGCCUUUGAGCUAAGCUUGUCACCAUCCAGAGAAGUAAAACUUGUGGCACUCAGUGAACUCACUGACCCCUAUCCACUGGCCUCUUACACUGUUGGAUCAAGUCAUAUGGUAACCUUAAAAAGGCAGAUUAUCAUAAAAGGUUGGUUAACCACCAAAAUGGUGAUUAAUAGUAGGACUGAACAGUUAAUUGCAAUAAGAUAUUUUCAGUCCAAAGUAAUUGCUCUUUUUUUUACACACGUAUAUUUGGUGAUAUGGUAA